rnacentral:tRNA from 1 species
GCUCCUGUAGCACAGCUGGUAGUGCAGCUGAUUCGUAAUCAGCAGGUCGCAGGUUCAAAUCCUGUCGGGAGCACCA